rnacentral:rRNA from 1 species
UACUCCUACGGGAGGCAGCAGUCGGGAAUUUUGCGCAAUGGAGGAAACUCUGACGCAGUGACGCCGCGUGCAGGAAGAAGGUUUUCGGAUUGUAAACUGCUUUAGACAGGGAAGAAAAAGGACAGUACCUGUAGAAUAAGCUCCGGCUAACUACGUGCCAGCAGCCGCGGUAAU